ensembl:lncRNA
UGUAUAAAUCCCUAAUAUUUAAAAAACAAAAAACAACAAAAAAAAAGGUUAAAAAGUUUGUUAACUUGCUAUCCUGUGGUCUUGUUGCCUGAAAUUGUUAUUGUUUGUUAUUUCUCUAUGAUGUUUUUUGUAAGACAUUGUAUAAGUGCCCAUGUCUCACUUUUUUAACCACUCUGCACAUCAAUGCUGUGACGGCAACCUCACAAUGUAUUUUCUUCAUGAUAUAUGGAAACCUCUAAGGUGAGAAAGUUUUGAACUUUUAACCCUUUCUACCCAGAGCUAUCUGGAAUGUUGAUAACUUUUUAUACUGUCAUAAUUUCCGUUUGUUUUGGGGUGUUUCUAAUUUGGAUUUCUUGUUCUGCAUAUAUCUUUCAGUUGUUUCUGUCUUUCCUACUUUUUUAUCCUUUGGUUGAGAUCCAAAAGAAAGGAAGAGAGUUUUCGAGAUAAACGGGAACGGUAGAUAGAGUCAAGCACCUAAAUAAACCUUAAAUUCAGUCUGCUUUUGAGGUCAGGUGAGCGGUAUGUUCCAGUUUACAGUAACAUCAUGCACCUGUCCAGCCAUUGUGCUGGGGAUUGUCCGACCCCAGUGGAUACCUCUGAAUGAGCAACGUGUCUGGAGUUAGACGCUGACCAUCCUGUCCCUGCCUUUUUGUUUCCUCUGAGCUGAAUGCAUCUACAGGGGACUGACCAUUCAAGGCAAACUCAGUUCUUCAUCAGUUACUGACCAAAUACCCAGCACCAGUUCCUGCUGCCAUUUUCUAAAGUGCCAUAUUUCUUUGACUUCAUGUGAACAGGUCUCUUGCUGUCCUGACAAACCCCAAGUCAUCCCUGCAACCCACUCAAAACUCCUACCUUUUUUGGAAGCUUGUUUCGUAAAGGAGUUCAGAAACUGCUGGCUCCACUUCCUCCAUUUCCCACUGACCACCCUGUUUGGUUUAUUGUGUGUGUGGAUGUGAUAGCCCUGGGAGGGAAAGGACUAGCCUCUAUUGAUGCAAAAAAAAAAAGUUUCCUUCUUACAGCACAUGCACUUAAAAUGAAACGACCUGUAUUAUCCUCACACGUGUUUACUACUGCUGGGGCCUUCCUUCAUCCUUCGAGGGCUAUUUUGUACUUCCUGCAGCUGAAUAAUAAAGGUUAUCGCACACGUCUCUCUCGUAUAUACGAUACGGUGGUAACACAGAUACACAUGUAAGAACACAAGACAACACCAUCUGAAUUUCCUAGACUGUUUCAUUCAGAAUCUCAUCAAUUAUACAUAAACCUUAAACUAUCUUCCCCCACUUCACUGAAGCCAGAAGUGCUCCAGUGCCCUCCUCCUCCCCUCCGCUCCCCCACCUCCCCCAGAGGAGCUGAGUGCACUCAACAAGAGGCUCAGGGCGGGCGCUUAGAGCUAAGUGUUGAUUCUGCAGGCAACCAAGACAGUACCGUUAGGGGGAAGGUCCUUUUUCUUUUCUGGGGGGGGCAUGUUUCAUUGCUCAAAAGAUAACCCUCCUCAAAGACAAGCUGUCCUUUUCUUCACUUUCUCUGUUAAUAUCAAAAGGAAAAAGCUGCAAGGGUGCGAAGGGCCUGUGCCAGAAGAAAACACACAGGGAAACUGCUUUUUUUUUAAAUCAAGUGUAGAGAAUAGUCAUUUUUAAACUGAAUUAGAGAAUUGUGAUCAAAUGGCAGUCCUCAAAGGCGUAACAAGUUCAUCUUUCUUUCACCAUAGGGGUUAUAGUUCUUUGGCUUGUGCUACUCUGGAUUCAUUUUACUGUUUGUUUUUAAUUAUCUUAAGUGCUAAUUAAUAAGAAAUAAAAUUUUAAAAAAACCUGUAGUUUCAUUACCUUUUUGAAUAAUGUCAUACAAAAAAAUGUAUGUGUUUUUUUGUGCUGUGAGAAUUGUUGUUUGUAGAUUAAUAAUAUCAUUUUGUUUAGAAUUACAAAAUAGUUUUUAAAUAUUGUCUGAGAAAAGCCAAAGUUA